rnacentral:miRNA from 1 species
UGAUCAAUCCAUCGUGUCUG